AAUGCUCAGUAACACGUAGCUAACCUACCCUUAGGUCAAGAAUACCCUCGGGAAACUGAGGUUAAUGCUUGAUAGGAAAUUUUUUCUGGAAUGAAAUAUUUCUGAAACUCGAGCCUAAGGAUGGGGCUGCGGCUGAUUAGGUAGUUGUUGGGGUAAUAGCCUAACAAGCCGAUGAUCAGUAAGGGCUCUUAGCGGAGAGGCCCUGAGAAGGAAUCUGAGACACUAUUCCUAGCUCUACGGGGUGCAGCAGUCGAGGAAAUUUUACAAUGCUCGUAAGAGUGAUAAAAUAAGCCAGAGUGUUUCUCAUAGAGAAACUUUUACCUGUUGUAAAAAGACAGGAGAAUAAGGACUGGGCAAGACCGGUGCCAGCCGCCGCGGUAAUACCGGCGGUCCAAGUCGCAUCCACAUUUAUUGGGUCUAAAACAUUCGUAGCUUGUUUUGUAAGUUUCUUGUGAAAUCCUAUAUCUCAAGUAUAGGGCGUGCAAGAAAUACUACAUUACUAGAGACCGGAAGAUGUAAAGAGUACGAUAGAGGUAGCGGUAAAAUGUGUUAAUCUCUAUCGGACUAACAAUGGCGAAGGCACUUUACAAGUACGGAUCUGACAGUGAGGGAUGAAGGCUAGGGGCGCAAAAGGGAUUAGAUACCCCUGUAGUCCUAGCAGUAAACACUGCUCACUAAACAUUAGUACCUCUUCGAGAGGUAUUAGUGCUGUAGGGAAGCCGAAGAGUGAGCUACCUGGGAAGUAUAGUCGCAAGACCGAAACUUAAAGGAAUUGGCGGGGGAGCAC
rnacentral:rRNA from 1 species